UGCAGUCGAGCGGAACGAUGGGAGCUUGCUCCCAGGCGUCGAGCGGCGGACGGGUGAGUAACACUUAGGAAUCUACCUAGUAGUGGGGGAUAGCUCGGGGAAACUCGAAUUAAUACCGCAUACGACCUACGGGAGAAAGGGGGCAGUUUACUGCUCUCGCUAUUAGAUGAGCCUAAGUCGGAUUAGCUAGAUGGUGGGGUAAAGGCCUACCAUGGCGACGAUCUGUAGCUGGUCUGAGAGGAUGAUCAGCCACACCGGGACUGAGACACGGCCCGGACUCCUACGGGAGGCAGCAGUGGGGAAUAUUGGACAAUGGGGGCAACCCUGAUCCAGCCAUGCCGCGUGUGUGAAGAAGGCCUUUUGGUUGUAAAGCACUUUAAGCAGUGAAGAAGACCAUAUGGUUAAUACCCAUAUGCGAUGACAUUAGCUGCAGAAUAAGCACCGGCUAACUCUGUGCCAGCAGCCGCGGUAAUACAGAGGGUGCAAGCGUUAAUCGGAAUUACUGGGCGUAAAGCGAGCGUAGGUGGCUUGAUAAGUCAGAUGUGAAAUCCCCGGGCUUAACCUGGGAACUGCAUCUGAUACUGUUAAGCUAGAGUAGGUGAGAGGGAAGUAGAAUUCCAGGUGUAGCGGUGAAAUGCGUAGAGAUCUGGAGGAAUACCGAUGGCGAAGGCAGCUUCCUGGCAUCAUACUGACACUGAGGCUCGAAAGCGUGGGUAGCAAACAGGAUUAGAUACCCUGGUAGUCCACGCCGUAAACGAUGUCUACUAGUCGUUGGGUCCCUUGAGGACUUAGUGACGCAGCUACGCAAUAAGUAGACCGCCUGGGGAGUACGGCCGCAAGGUUAAAACUCAAAUGAAUUGACGGGGGCCCGCACAAGCGGUGGAGCAUGUGGUUUAAUUCGAUGCAACGCGAAAAA
rnacentral:rRNA from 1 species